AUGGCUAAUGCUGGUGCUUCCUUUGUUUCUCAGCCUUAUCUCAAGAAAUGGCACCUUGUUGGGAGUGGACUUUCCUCUCACCAUCCAAUUCCAGGAGUGGUGCAGCAGGCGUAUUGCAACACCGACGAGGAUUCGGAUUCGUUGACAGUGUCUCCGCAAACGGGUGGGACUGGGAGGCCUGGAUCUUUAACCUCACUCUUUCAGCCUGUGGCCCCCAGGGGAGCUGAACCAAAGCAUGGGCCCCAGAAGGCCAUGGUUAAACGUGUCACGUGCAGGAAGCAGAUAACAUCGUUGCUGUUUAGAGGAAAAUGCAGCAGAGACCUUGAAGCAGAGACAGGCUGGAGGGAGCCGAUGCCAAGAGUCCCCAGGGCAGCCUCUGAUGGGAUUGGAGAGCUCUGUUUCGACACCAAGGAAGAGUUCUGGGGACAUGACAUGAUGAUGCUGGGGCCCAUCUAUCUCAUCCAAUCCAUCAUUUGGCACUGAAGACACCAAAUUAUUUGGAGGGGAGUGACCUGCCCAAAGUCAUGCAACAUCGUGGCCGCAUGGGAUAGAUGACGGUGCCUGCCUCUCCUGUACGACUGCCCUCCUGCCCAUAAGACCAUCAUCCCUGUAGAACAUCCGGGUAGUUGCAGGGAAGCUAGCUUCUCCCCAGUGCCCACGAUGGUGUAUGGGACCUCGGCCCAGCUGAUCAGCACAUUCCAUGCUCCUGGCUACCUUGCUUGGUUAGGGGUGACCUGUGACCUAAUACUAGUUCAAUCAGAGAGGAUCUCUGCACCUUUGAGGAGAAUGCUGGGAAACAGUGACCCUCCUUCCUCUGGGCUACAGAUGAACAAAGGAUACAAGUAGUCUCAGCAACUGAUGUUGUGACAUGAAGAGAGAGCCUCAGGAUGAAACAGACCCCAUGAAAGGCAGAGAGCAGAGAUGGGAAAGAAAAGGAAUUCUAGGUCAUCAUUCUGAGUUGCUGGAUCAAACCUCACCUGAUGCCUGAUGUCUUUACUCUAAAAUAAUCAGUUACAUGAUCCAGUCCACUCUAUUUUUAAGACAGUUGGAACAGAGAUUUUUAUUAAUGAUAACCAAAAUACUCCCAAAUGAUAAAUAGAUGGCAGAAGGCCAAAGAGCUUGCCUCUUCUUCUAUCUCGCUCCUGGUUAGGUGGGCUGAACCCAAAGGUCUGCCUCUGUGCCUUUCCACAGGCCUGGGCAGGCUGCAGAUAUUCCGAAGGCUGAGUCUAGUCUGCAGUUUGAGACUCCCCGCUAGCUGGUCGUUUACACUCUCGGUUCAGGGAAGUGGGUUGGUUUGUUAUAUGGGUCCAGAAAGCAUUUUCUAGGAGGUCACUCCCACCCCACCCUCAGGAACCAAUAGCACUCUGUGCAUCUCUCUCAAAUCACACUGACCUCACUGCUUUUUAAUGACCAACACCUACAUCGGGAUCCCCUUUGGACUCCAAGCUUGCUGAAGGGGAGACUAAGCCUUGCCUUUGGAUCC
rnacentral:lncRNA from 1 species